CCGAGCGGUAGAGAUCUUUCGGGAUCUUGAGAGCGGCGUACGGGUGCGGAACACGUGUGCAACCUGCCUUUAUCUGGGGGAUAGCCUUUCGAAAGGAAGAUUAAUACCCCAUAAUAUACUGAAUGGCAUCAUUCGGUAUUGAAAACUCCGGUGGAUAGAGAUGGGCACGCGCAAGAUUAGAUAGUUGGUGAGGUAACGGCUCACCAAGUCUACGAUCUUUAGGGGGCCUGAGAGGGUGAUCCCCCACACUGGUACUGAGACACGGACCAGACUACUACGGGAGGCAGCAGUGAGGAAUAUUGGACAAUGGGUGAGAGCCUGAUCCAGCCAUCCCGCGUGAAGGACGACGGCCCUAUGGGUUGUAAACUUCUUUUGUAUAGGGAUAAACCUACCCUCGUGAGGGUAGCUGAAGGUACUAUACGAAUAAGCACCGGCUAACUCCGUGCCAGCAGCCGCGGUAAUACGGAGGGUGCAAGCGUUAUCCGGAUUUAUUGGGUUUAAAGGGUCCGUAGGCGGAUCUGUAAGUCAGUGGUGAAAUCUCACAGCUUAACUGUGAAACUGCCAUUGAUACUGCAGGUCUUGAGUGUUGUUGAAGUAGCUGGAAUAAGUAGUGUAGCGGUGAAAUGCAUAGAUAUUACUUAGAACACCAAUUGCGAAGGCAGGUUACUAAGCAACAACUGACGCUGAUGGACGAAAGCGUGGGGAGCGAACAGGAUUAGAUACCCUGGUAGUCCACGCCGUAAACGAUGCUAACUCGUUUUUGGAAUGUAAGUUUCAGAGACUAAGCGAAAGUGAUAAGUUAGCCACCUGGGGAGUACGAACGCAAGUUUGAAACUCAAAGGAAUUGACGGGGGCCCGCACAAGCGGUGGAUUAUGUGGUUUAAUUCGAUGAUACGCGAGGAACCUUACCAAGGCUUAAAUGGGAAAUGACAGGUUUAGAAAUAGACUUUUCUUCGGACAUUUUUCAAGGUGCUGCAUGGUUGUCGUCAGCUCGUGCCGUGAGGUGUUAGGUUAAGUCCUGCAACGAGCGCAACCCCUGUCACUAGUUGCCAUCAUUAAGUUGGGGACUCUAGUGAGACUGCCUACGCAAGUAGAGAGGAAGGUGGGGAUGACGUCAAAUCAUCACGGCCCUUACGCCUUGGGCCACACACGUAAUACAAUGGCCGGUACAGAGGGCAGCUACACUGCGAAGUGAUGCAAAUCUCGAAAGCCGGUCUCAGUUCGGAUUGGAGUCUGCAACUCGACUCUAUGAAGCUGGAAUCGCUAGUAAUCGCGCAUCAGCCAUGGCGCGGUGAAUACGUUCCCGGGCCUUGUACACACCGCCCGUCAAGCCAUGGAAGUCUGGGGUACCUGAAGUCGGUGACCGUAACAGGAGCUGCC
rnacentral:rRNA from 1 species